CCGCUUCCCGAUCGCGCCCUCCCAGUGCCGGGGACGCGGCGCCCGCGCUCUCUCCCGGGCCCCGGGAAGCAGAGACCGGGAGGUGCCGCCGCCGCCGCCCCUCCUCCCGGCUGCACCCCGGCCCUGUGCUCGCAACAUGCCCGCCGCCGAGCCAAGCGCCGCCCUCCUCCAGGAGCUCGCGGAGGCGACGGCGCUGCGGGCCGCGGGGCCGCGGCUGCGAGGGUAGCGGAGCCGGAGCGGGCACGGAGGCGCCGCGCGGCGGGCGGAGCGGAGGAGGAGCAGCAGGCAUCCUCCGCGGCGCGCCCAUGGCCCCGGAGGUAGGAGAAUGCGAGCGGCACUCCCCGCCGGCCGCCGCCUCCCCCCGCGCCGCCGGCUCGGCGCCCCCCGGAGCUGCUCGCGUCGCCGCCGCCCCCCAGCUGCGGGCGCCCGGCCGCUGGCUGCGCUAGGACCCGCCGCCGGUCGCCGAGGGCGGGUGCGGAGAGAGGAGCGGGAGCGACCGGGAGCCUGGCGCCCGCCCGGGCGCAGCGCGGCAUGGAGCUGUGAGCUCCCGCGCCCGCGCGAGGGUGUCGGCCCGGGGCCCCGCCAUGGCUGGGAAGGACAGUGGGAACCUGAAGACGGUGAGGCUGUGGCGGGACGCCGCCCUGCGCGCCAGGAAGCUGCGGAGCAACCUGCGCCAGCUCACCCUCAGCGCGGCCGGGGGCUGCCCGGGGGUCGGGGCCGACCAGAUCGACUCCCCCGACGCCCCCCAGCUCGUGCUGCCGGCCAACAUCGGGGACAUUGAGGUGCUGAACCUGGGGAACAACGGCCUGGAGGAGGUGCCCGAGGGGCUGGGGUCGGCGCUGGGCAGCCUGCGCGUCCUGGUCCUGCGGAGGAACCGCUUUGCCCGGCUGCCCCCGGCGGUGGCCGAGUUGGGCCACCACCUCACCGAGCUGGACAUGAGCCACAACCGACUGACGGCUCUGGGCGCGGAGGUGGUGAGCGCUCUGCACGAGCUGCGCAAGCUGAACCUCAGCCACAACCAGCUGCCCGCCCUGCCCGCCCAGCUGGGCUCGCUGGCCCACCUGGAGGAGCUGGAUGUCAGCUUUAACCGCCUGGCGCACCUGCCCGACUCCCUCUCCUGCCUCUGCCGCCUGCGCACCCUCGAUGUGGACCACAAUCAGCUCACCGCUUUUCCUGGGCAGCUGCUGCAGCUGGCUGCCCUGGAGGAGCUGGACGUGUCCAGUAACCGGCUCCGAGGCCUACCUGAGGGUAUCAGUGCCCUGCGUGCCCUUAAAAUCCUCUGGCUGAGUGGGGCCGAGCUUGGCACCCUGCCUGAGGGCUUCUGUGAGCUGGCCAGCCUGGAGAGCCUCAUGCUAGACAACAACAGGCUGCAGGCUCUGCCCGCCCAGUUCAGCCAUCUGCAGAGACUCAAAAUGCUCAACCUCUCCUCCAACCUCUUUGAGGAGUUCCCUGCCGCGCUGCUGCCCCUGGCUGGCCUGGAGGAGCUCUACCUUAGUCGCAACCAGCUCACCUCAGUGCCAUCCCUGAUCUCAGGCCUGGGCCGGCUCCUCACCCUGUGGCUGGACAACAACCGGAUCCGCUACCUGCCGGACUCCAUUGUGGAGCUGACGGGCUUGGAGGAGCUCGUGCUGCAGGGCAACCAGAUCGCUGUGCUGCCGGACAACUUUGGCCAGCUCUCCCGGGUGGGCCUGUGGAAGAUCAAGGACAACCCACUGAUCCAGCCCCCCUACGAGGUCUGUAUGAAGGGGAUCCCCUACAUCGCAGCCUACCAGAAGGAGCUGGCCCACUCCCAGCCGGCAGUUCAGCCCCGCCUCAAGCUGCUCCUGAUGGGCCAUAAGGCUGCCGGGAAGACCUUGCUCCGGCACUGCCUCACUGAGGACAGAGUGGAGGCAAGUGAAGGAGGGGACAAGGACAAGGGCUACUCACCUCCACCGCCGCCCCCGAGCAAGGGCAUCGAGGUGACCAGUUGGACAGCCGACGCUUCCCGGGGCCUGCGGUUCAUUGUGUAUGACUUAGCCGGAGAUGAAAGCUACGAGGUGAUCCAGCCCUUCUUCCUCUCCCCAGGGGCCCUUUAUGUGCUGGUGGUGAACUUGGCCACCUACGAGCCACGGCGAUUUCCUACCACCGUGGGCUCCUUCUUGCAUCGGGUGGGGGCCCGCGUGCCUCACGCGGUGGUGUGCAUUGUGGGCACGCACGCAGACCUGUGUGGGGAGCGGGAGCUGGAGGAAAAGUGUCUGGACAUCCACCGCCAGAUCGCCCUGCAGGAGAAGCGCGAUGCUGAGGGGCUGAGCCGCCUGGCCCAGGUGGUGGACGAGGCGCUGGCCCGCGACUUCGAGCUGCGCUCAGCCAGCCCCCAUGCCGCGUACUAUGGUGUGUCAGACAAGAACCUUCGGCGGCGCAAGGCCCACUUCCAGUACCUGCUCAACCACCGGCUGCAGAUCCUCUCCCCGGUGCUGCCUGUGAGCUGCAGGGACCCCCGCCAGUUACAGCGCCUUCGGGACAAGCUGCUCUCGGUAGCUGAGCACCGGGAAAUCUUCCCCAACUUACACAGAGUCCUGCCCCGGUCCUGGCAGGUGCUGGAGGAACUGCAUUUCCAGCCCCCUCAGGCACAGCGGCUUUGGCUGAGCUGGUGGGACUCGGCACGCCUGGGCCUGCAGGCAGGUCUGACCGAGGACCGGCUGCAGAGCGCCCUGUCCUACCUGCACGAGAGCGGCAAACUGCUCUACUUUGAGGACAGCCCAGCCCUCAAGGAACACGUCUUCCACAACCUCACCCGCCUCAUUGACAUCCUCAAUGUCUUUUUCCAGAGGGAUCCUUCCUUGUUGCUGCAUAAGCUGCUCCUAGGGACCAACGGAGAGGGCGAGGGAGACGGGGAAAGCUCCCUCGUAAUGGCACUGCCACCGACCAGCCAGGACCUGCUCCGGGCCACCCAGCUCCAUCAUUACGUGGAGGGCUUUCUGCUUCACGGGCUCUUGCCGGCCCAUGUCAUUCGGUUGCUGCUUAAGCCUCACGUCCAGGCCCAGCAGGAUUUGCAACUGCUGCUGGAGCUGCUGGAGAAGAUGGGACUCUGCUACUGCCUCAAUAAACCCAAGGGCAAGCCUCUGAAUGGGUCCACGGCCUGGUACAAGUUCCCCUGCUACGUGCAGAACGAGGUGCCCCAUGCAGAGGCCUGGAUUAACGGGACCAACCUGGCCGGGCAGUCUUUUGUGGCUGAGCAGUUGCAGAUUGAAUAUAGUUUUCCCUUUACCUUCCCACCUGGGUUGUUUGCACGCUACAGCGUCCAGAUCAACAGCCACGUGGUGCAGAGGUCGGACGGGAAACUUCAGAUCUUUGCAUAUCGAGGGAAAGUUCCUGUGGUGGUGAGCUACAGACCCGCCAAGGGGGUCCUGCAGCCCGAUACCCUGUCCAUCGCCAGCCAUGCAUCAUUACCAAACAUAUGGACGGCAUGGCAAGCCAUAACCCCCUUGGUGGAAGAACUGAAUGUCUUACUUCAGGAAUGGCCUGGACUGCACUACACCGUGCACAUUCUCUGUUCUAAGUGCCUUAAGAGAGGGUCGCCCAAUCCACACGCUUUCCCGGUGGUGGUGCUGGGAAAAGAAGAGGUCACAGCCAGUCUGUUAAAGAAGUCUGUUUGGUGGGAGCUGCUGAGUCAGCCCAGACCUGAAGGAGUGGCCGAGAUCAUUUGCCCCAAGAACGGCAGUGAGCGAGUGAAUGUUGCCUUGGUUUACCCACCUACACCGACUGUGAUCAGCCCCUGUUCCAAUAUUAAGAACUAAACAGUGAAACCACUUUUCAACUGAGAUGAAAUGCAUUCUUACCACAAAACUUGUCUUCUUGGAGCAGAUCUGGUAUCUUGGGUGCUGUCACUUCAGCAAAGAAGAACGUUGGUGAAAAGCACAGAAACCAGUGACCUUUAUGGCUGUGGAAUUUCCGUGAAGAGACUCACCUGGACCAUGUUUCGUACCUGGUAACCCUCCACACUCCCCGUGUGUCGUGAACUUGAGCGCACGGCUCAGGGUGCUCUCAGAGGAGGGAGCCCGCCUGGCCUUCCCACGAGGUGGGGAGGGGCCGGGGGAGGUCGGGAGGGAGAAUAUGGAGCAAGUGUUUUACAACCUGAACCUCAGAACUGUGAUCCUCCAAGGAGAGCGCUACUUGAAGAAAAGAAAAGACAAAAAAAAAAGUCGAAUGGCUUCUCAGGGAUUUUGUUUUCUGUGCACAUAUAAGCCAUAGUUCCAGCGCAGGUGGCAGUAUUUAGAGCACUCAGAUUUCAGUUCUGUUCAAUGUGAACGAGGGCGCGCCUGACCAUUCAUUGCUGUUCCGCAACUAGUGUAAAAUAUGUACAUGUUUAUCUUUAUUUUUAUAAUAUGCAAAGACAUUUAAAUUUAUACAGUUGGAAGCUUCUAGCAUUAGUUAACACUGGGUGCAAUAUUCGCAUGAGAACUGUGCCAAGACGGGGCUGACUUCUUAUUUUAGCAUAAGACCUUUCUGUUCAUUCUUUACUCUGUAAUCCUUGGCAGAUUAAAAAACGAAAAAGAUACCUGUCUGCCCAUGGGGUAAGGGUUGGCUUGUAGAGGUUGCCAAUAGUCUGCAAGGUACACGCAGGCACCGACUCCUCUCCUUCUGACGAAAGGCCCUGCCUGUGAGCCGCUGGGCAGGGUGUGGGGUUGUUCCUUUUCGCUGCCACAUGUCACUACUGCCGAGCACAGUGUUCCUCGCUGACCGUUUGUGGUCACUGGUGAUGCACCGAUGGAGGUCUGGGGUUAGGGUUCUUUAGCAGGAGGCCGAAGCGUUAGUGAGUCCAUUGAAAACCUGAGUCUUUCUAUUAAAAAAAAAAAUUUUUUUUUAUUUCAGAGAGGAAGGGAGAGAGAGAAACAUCAAUGAUGCAACAGAAUCAUUGAUCUGAUCCUCCUGCAUGCCCCCUACUAGGGAUGAAGCCCACAACCCGGGCAUGUGCCCUGCUCGGGAGUAGAACCAUGACCUCCUGGUUCAUGGGUCGGUGCUCAACCACUGAGCCACACUGGCAGGGCCUGAGUCUUUCAACAGCUUAAGAUAAUCAGGAGUCAGUUCUGAAACACUCAGAGAACUCCCAGAGUGAGUGCUCUUUCUUCUAGGACAGAGUCUGUGAAAUUUAGCAGAGCACUUGGCAAGCCUCCACAUCUGGCUGUCAGGCCUUCAGAUAGUCAAUGGUCUAAUUGGAGAGCAUAAUCCCCCAUUGGUUAUUUAUAAAUACAGAGCCUCUGACUGGUCGGUCUUCUGCCAAGAACUAGGAAAACUUGUUUUAAAAUCUCCACAAAGCAAAACGUAAGAAGCAAACCAAACAAAUUGCUUUCCCUUCGAUUCCUAACUAGGGCCAAGCAGCAUCUCCUGCAGUAGUAACACCUUCUCGUCUGAGGGAUGUGAGGGACCAUUUACAUCUGCCUCCUCUGCGUGUUGAUCGAAAAUGUGUAAGACUGUUCUCACCCGUGUGAGGCAGGAAAAGUGAGUCCGCUGGUCGUAUUCUUUCAUAAAGUAUUAACUCUUGGAAUGCCACGGUCCACAAAGUGUCAACAAGCAAGUGGCUGCAUCACAAAAAAUCACGAAUCAAUUUUUGUAGACUAUUUUGUGCCCCAGGAGUUAACUUGACCAAUUCCAGAAUCUCCAGUUAAACAAGGGUGAUUUCUGAUGAUCAGAAAACCACGUGGAAUCAGACUGUCCAUUUUUAAAUACUUGAAUAUGACACCUCAAAAUUGAGAUUUUGCUCUCUUGAGAACAGUCACAAAAAUAGUCUGGUUGAGCCUUUUGUCACAGUUCUCGUGUGUGUGCAUGGGUGUGUGUGCGUGCGUGUCAACUGAAUGCUAAUGUUUAAUUGCUUUGUGGACCGUUGAAUCGUAAAAGUUUUUAAUUGGCACGAGACAGUUCCUAAAAUGUCAAAUUAACAGAUUUUUCCCGGUCUUUUGUAAAGACUCUUAAGUGUGUGACUUUGAGCUAAUUCUCCUGGGACCAUAUUAAAUGAAAAAAAAAAAAAAAAAUGCCCCUUUGGGUGACAUACCCUGAAGAGUGUGUGCUGUUAUUAUGAACAUAAAUGUCCACGUUCUUAAUAUCAGUUUUUCAACAAGUGAUGUUUUGUGCUGUCAUCCGAACCCUAGAGAAGCAGAGUAAGAAGAAAUCUUGGGGUCACAUGUGUUCAAGUAAAAAGACCAUGCAGUCGAGGGUCAUGUGACCGAAAGCAGCUCCAGAAAAGCUUGAGACGUUGGCCCAGGGUGGGGGAGGGGUGAAGAUACAGAAAACACUCUGCUCUCGGGAACUUGCACCCUCUGUGCAGGAAGUCCUUUCCUCCUUCCACACCUGGGAAGACUCAGCCAGCGGAGGCGACAGGUCCCUAAGCACACGGGGAGUCUUCCCGCCAGGUAGUCCCUGGCCCCCCAAAGAAACACCCUCCACGUUGGUUAUGGUUUCUAUCCCUGCAACUCGCAGUAUCAGAACCGCUUCCUGGAAUUGUAACGUGCUGCCAGGAUUAAUGUUCUUCCCCUUCUAAGAAAAAAUGACAGUGCUCAUAUUUGACACUUGUGUGAUGGACUCCUAUGACUGAAAAACAUGGAAAGGGCUUGGUGUCAUGCCUGAUGGGUGAUGGGAUGUGUGUUAUUUUUCAUGCCACAGUUUGUGAAUUGUAAUUGCGGUUUCCUAUUUAAUUGUAACCGGGCAGAAAUUAAAAAAAAAAAAAAAAGUUCAAUAAAAAUACAAAUGUUUAA